CAGAGAAUAGUUUAAGAGAAACUCCCAGCUUUGGGAGUCGGAGAUAGAGGUUCAAGUCUUCUUUUUCUGA
rnacentral:tRNA from 1 species